GCCAUCUUGUCACUACAGGAAACUUACUGUAAAUUUCUUCGAUUUCUCCGAGCUUAGCGUUUCUGAAUCGGGUACGCUCACACCAAUAGGAGCUGUCGACAUAAUAAUCUACAGCCAGCACAAACAGCUAUCGAAAAUUAUACACCGACUUCCUUCGUUGUGAUGCGAAUUAAGUUCUCAAACUGCUGGCAAACAAGCGUUGCAACGUGGUCUGUGAAAGACGAGACAACAAGGAAGCCUCUUGUUGUGAAACCGCAUACGACAAAUGGCAGCAAGAACAAGUCCUGACGGCGAAAUAUACAACAAAAUAUUCGCUAAUGUCGACCAAGCUUCGCCCACAACCCACAAGAGCGAUUUUGCAUCGAAUAUUUACAGUACGUUGGGAGAAGAUCUAUUUUGGUCGGUCAACGCCUUCAAAUGCCUACAUAUUUACUUACAUUCCGCAAAAGCUGGUCAAAUUGAAUAAAUAGACUUUAAUCUUACAUUCGGCCGACUAAGACCACAUAUUAAACUAGCCAAAACCCUUAUAAUGAUAAAAUAUAGGUCACAAAUAUUUC